AGUAACCUGGACCAGAGAAAAAACAAGACUACCAUGUCCAGCCAGCAGAAUGCUAUAAUAUGCUAUGAUGACUGGAAUCCUUGUUAACCAAUUCCAGCAACCUCCUAUCGCCUCCCCGUUGAGACCAGCAUGAAGGUCGAAGCUCACACCACCUCUGCAGACUCAUUUCACCCCUCACCUGCCUACGGUCACCUGUGUGGUUGCCCGGGCCAGAAACAAAUACCCAAACGCAGCAUUUGAGGGAUUUCUACUUGUCUGUUGCCUCCUCGAGAACAGCACGUAACUGCAAUGCAGCCUGUACAGGAGGACGGAGGGAAGGAAAAGCCAGAGCCAGGUCUUGAGCUGAGGAGGGCAGAGUCUUGCGGAGGGCCCUCAGGACUGGGUGAUGCUGUGAGGGAGCAUGAACCCCGUGUCCCUGAGGGUCCUGAGCGCCACUCGGCCAUUGGGUCGGAUCACCAGGUGGGUGAUGCUGCCAUUGUUGAGGGAGCAAUGGAGCCAGCCUUCGGGAGGAAACUGCAGCGCUGUGUCCUGUCAUCUGCAGCGAAUGACACUGGCGUGACAUCGGAAGAUCUCCUAAUUAUCCUCCCCCUGCUUGGCAUCCCCCGAGGGAUGUAGUUUCGGAGCGCUCCCUCGAUCCGGACUCCAUCUUCAUAGCAUGCCCAGCGGCCGC
rnacentral:lncRNA from 1 species